UACGUAGGGUGCAAGCGUUGUCCGGAAUUAUUGGGCGUAAAGAGCUCGUAGGCGGUCUGUCACGUCGGCUGUGAAAACCUGGGGCUCAACCCCGGGCCUGCAGCCGAUACGGGCAGACUAGAAUUCGGUAGGGGAGACUGGAAUUCCUGGUGUAGCGGUGGAAUGCGCAGAUAUCAGGAGGAACACCGGUGGCGAAGGCGGGUCUCUGGGCCGACAUUGACGCUGAGGAGCGAAAGCGUGGGGAGCGAACAGG
rnacentral:rRNA from 1 species